GGGAAUGUGGCUUAGUGGUAGAGUGCUUGCCUAGCAUGCAAGAAGCCCUGGGUUCGAUUCCUCAGUACCA
rfam:Dipodomys ordii contig_15613, whole genome shotgun sequence.